rnacentral:rRNA from 1 species
AGCGAACGCUGGCGGCAGGCUUAACACAUGCAAGUCGAGCGGGCAUCCUUGUGGUGUCAGCGGCAGACGGGUGAGUAACGCGUGGGAACGUGCCCUUCGGUUCGUAAUAACUCAGGGAAACUUGAGCUAAUACCGGAUACGUGCGAGAGCAGAAAGGUUUAUCUGCCGAAGGAUCGGCCCGCGUCUGAUUAGCUAGUUGGUGAGGUUAUGGCUCACCAAGGCGACGAUCAGUAGCUGGUCUGAGAGGAUGAUCAGCCACACUGGGACUGAGACACGGCCCAGACUCCUACGGGAGGCAGCAGUGGGGAAUAUUGGACAAUGGGGGCAACCCUGAUCCAGCCAUGCCGCGUGAGUGAUGACGGCCUUAGGGUUGUAAAGCUCUUUUCUCCGGGACGAUAAUGACGGUACCGGAGGAAUAAGCCCCGGCUAACUUCGUG